UAGCAAAGAGGAAGAAAGAAACAACACUGGUGAAGGAACUCCGAUUGUCAAGACAACACGAUGCGUUGCUAGCUGGGGAGACAUUCGUGCAACUUACAGAGAGAUAUAAAUAUAUUAGUUUGGGGAUUGCUACUUUCAGAGCAAAUAUUGCAUUGUCACAAAUAUCAUACCCUCAAGCCAAGGACCUUGGGAGUCCAGAGGAAGGUCUUUUUACCAUCAGCAUUCUCUCCUGUGUUCAAGGACUGACAGCCAAAGAUGGCUAGGCCCAUCCAUCUGGCAGAGAAAGGGAUGCUCAGGACACAGAACAGCCAUCCUAUAUUAACAAGAUUGCUGUGAGCACCAGCUUUGGCAGAGGUCUCUGGCAACCUCACUCACCUGCGGCUCCUCACCCUCCUGCAACACUUCCUGAGAGGCAGAGACGUCGACUGGGAGAAACCUGAGGCGCCAUCUUGGUCAGUGAAAUGGUUUCUGUUUGAUUUUGGUUUUGGUUUCUCUUUUAUUUUUCUUUUUGUCU
rnacentral:lncRNA from 10 species